AGGGGUAUAGCUCAGUGGUAGAGCAUGUGCUUAGCAUGCAAGAGGUCCUGGGUUCAAUCCCUGGUACCUUCA
rnacentral:tRNA from 1 species